rnacentral:rRNA from 2 species
GAACGCGUUGSCCAAUUGAUUGAUGGUGCUUGYMCYKRAUUGAUUUUGGUCGCCAACGAGUGGCGGACGGGUGAGUAACACGUAGGUAACCUGCCCAGAAGCGGGGGACAACAUUUGGAAACAGAUGCUAAUACCGCAUAACAACGUUGUUCGCAUGAACAACGCUUAAAAGAUGGCUUCUCGCUAUCACUUCUGGAUGGACCUGCGGUGCAUUAGCUUGUUGGUGGGGUAAUGGCCUACCAAGGCGAUGAUGCAUAGCCGAGUUGAGAGACUGAUCGGCCACAAUGGGACUGAGACACGGCCCAUACUCCUACGGGAGGCAGCAGUAGGGAAUCUUCCACAAUGGGCGCAAG